rnacentral:rRNA from 1 species
AACCUGGUUGAUCCUGCCAGUAGUCAUACGCUCGUCUCAAAGAUUAAGCCAUGCAUGUGUAAGUUCAAUGAUUUGACCAAAAAACUGCGAAUGGCUCAUUAUAUCAGUUAUAGUUUAUUUGAUAGUCCCUUACUACUUGGAUACCCGUAGUAAUUCUAGAGCUAAUACAUGCGUAAACACUCGACCUUUGGAAGAGUGGUAUUUAUUAGAUUGAAACCAACCCGUUUCGGCGGUGUCCUGGUGAUUCAUAAUAACUUUUCGGAUUGCAUUGCAACAUUUCAUUCAAGUUUCUGCCCUAUCAGCUUUGACGGUAGUGUAUUGGACUACCGUGGCUUUAACGGGUAAC